rnacentral:rRNA from 1 species
UACAGAGGGUGCGAGCGUUAAUCGGAAUUACUGGGCGUAAAGCGCACGUAGUCGGCUUUGCAAGUCGGGUGUGAAAUCCCCGGGCUCAACCUGGGAACUGCAUCCGAGACUGCAUUGCUAGAGUAUGGGAGAGGGAAGCGGAAUUUCUGGUGUAGCAGUGAAAUGCGUAGAUAUCAGAAGGAACAUCAGUGGCGAAGGCGGUUGCCUGGAGCUUUGCUGACGCUGAUGCGCGAAAGCGUGGGGAGCGAUCCGG